rnacentral:lncRNA from 1 species
AUGCUGGCCGAGCGGAUCCACCUAUUAUUAGUGCGCGCGGAUUGGCUCCUGGACGCAGCGUACUCGUGCUGGAACCAAUCAGGCUGCCGGGGCUGGGAGAUGAUGGGCGGCCGCCUCCUCAGUGGAGGGAUUCCUGGAGAAGCUGCAGUGUGGGGAUGCUCUAGACCGAGUACUGCCCCCAGUGUCUUUCCACCUCCCUCUCCUGCGGCGGCAGCGGCACUUAGCAGCAGCAACUUGAGGCUGCACCCUGGGCACGCUCCCGGGGUGGUGCUCAGCGCAGAGAGGGGCUCAGCACCCUCCAGGGGUGUGUGUGUAGGGUGGGGGCGGCCGGCUGGGACCAGCUGGUGGCCCUGGAAAACCUCCCACACACCCACACCCACACACCCCUUUUGUGUUACAGGCUGCCCCUCCGAGAGCGGAGGCAGCGAGAGAGUCCGCGUGUGCCGCUCACCGGUCCGCACCGGGGAGAGCGGAGGGGACCGAGACCGGCACCACCUCCUGGUCCUUGCUCCAGGGACAACAAGAACUAGCUAGAGCUUGA